rnacentral:rRNA from 1 species
UACAGAGGUCCCAAGCGUUGUUCGGAUUCACUGGGCGUAAAGGGUGCGUAGGUGGCGAGGUAAGUCGGAUGUGAAAGCUCGGAGCUCAACUCCGAAAUGGCAUUGGAAACUACCUUGCUCGAGGGUUGGAGGGGGGACUGGAAUUCUCGGUGUAGCAGUGAAAUGCGUAGAUAUCGAGAGGAGCACCAGUGGCGAAGGCGGCUUUCUGGACAGAUACCGACGCUGAGGCACGAAAGCUAGGGGAGCAAACAGG